UACCAGCACCCCGAGUGGUCGGGACGAUUAUUGGCCUAAAGCAUCCGUAGCCGGCCUUACAAGUCCUCCGUUAAAUCCAGCUGCUUAACAGAUGGGCUGCGGAGGAUACUAUAAGACUAGGAGGCAGGAGAGGCAAGCGGUACUCAGUGGGUAGGGGUAAAAUCCGUUGAUCCAUUGAAGACCACCAGUGGCGAAGGCGGCU
rnacentral:rRNA from 1 species